UGAUUAAUAGUUUAAAAAAAAUAUUUAAUUUGCAUUUAAAUGAUAUUAAAAAAUAAUUUAAUUUA
rnacentral:tRNA from 1 species